UGACGCAGGACAGAACUGGAAAACUUGUGGAUAUGGUGCGGAAUAAAGGGGAUCAGGCCAGUUUCAUAAUGAUAUCUGUUCUGGAACAAAGGGACAAUCUGCUCGCCAGAGACCUGGGGCUUCUCACAGACUGCAUUGAAGAAGCCAGAAUGAAUCGUUUGGAUCGCAGCAUAAAUCCCUAAUAUGGCAUUUGGAAGAGGGGAAUCAAAUCGAAAGUGAAACUAACAAGGACGGUCGACUUUAGACUGUAGAAGUACAUGGACCAAAUUUUCUACAACAUAUUUUCUUUCCCAGAGCAGCCACACCAAAAAGAAUUUAAUGUUGCUCAGUUGAAAAGAUUAUGUCUGUGUGAAUCAGUUAUUACUAAAUGACAAAUAAAAUACACUUUAGCAAACUGA